rfam:Clostridium sp. CAG:354 genomic scaffold, scf83
CUCUAAUAUCAAUCCAGAUGGCUAGUUUUAAGGAAGUAGUCCAGUGAAAUAUUAGAUAUUAAAGAGGUUUAUUCCUUCCUAUUUUAGGUAAAUAUGAAUCAUUAAAAUACAUACCGGUAGGUAUGACGAAAGUAUGUAUUUUAA